GCAUUGAUGGUUCAGUGGUAAAAUUCUCACCUUCCACGUGGGUGACCUGGGUGCGAUUCCUAGCCUGUGUA
rnacentral:tRNA from 1 species